rnacentral:rRNA from 1 species
UCAACCUGGUUGAUCCUGCCAGUAGUCAUAUGCUUGUCCCAAAGAUUAAGCCAUGCAUGUCUAAGUAUAAACCACUUUAUACGGUGAAACUGCGAAUGGCUCAUUAUAUCAGUUAUAAUUUACUUGAUAGUCUCUUUAUCAUUGGAUAACCGUGGUAAUUCUAGAGCUAAUACAUGCAACAAGCCCGACUCGCA